AUUGAACGCUGGCGGCAGGCCUAACACAUGCAAGUCGAGCGGAUGAAGGGAGCUUGCUCCUGGAUUCAGCGGCGGACGGGUGAGUAAUGCCUAGGAAUCUGCCUGGUAGUGGGGGAUAACGUCCGGAAACGGGCGCUAAUACCGCAUACGUCCUGAGGGAGAAAGUGGGGGAUCUUCGGACCUCACGCUAUCAGAUGAGCCUAGGUCGGAUUAGCUAGUUGGUGGGGUAAAGGCCUACCAAGGCGACGAUCCGUAACUGGUCUGAGAGGAUGAUCAGUCACACUGGAACUGAGACACGGUCCAGACUCCUACGGGAGGCAGCAGUAGGGAAUAUUGGACAAUGGGCGAAAGCCUGAUCCAGCCAUGCCGCGUGUGUGAAGAAGGUCUUCGGAUUGUAAAGCACUUUAAGUUGGGAGGAAGAGAAGUAAGUUAAUACCUUGCUGUUUUGACGUUACCAACAGAAAAAGCACCGGCUAACUUCGUG
rnacentral:rRNA from 1 species